rnacentral:rRNA from 1 species
GAGUGAAGCGGCAACAGCUCAAAUUUGAAAUCUGGCUCUUUCAGGGUCCGAGUUGUAAUUUGUAGAGGGUGCUUUGGUGUUGGCCGUGGUCUAAGUUCCUUGGAACAGGACGUCACAGAGGGUGAGAAUCCCGUACGUGGCCGCCGGUCUUCACCGUGUAAAGCCCCUUCGACGAGUCGAGUUGUUUGGGAAUGCAGCUCUAAAUGGGAGAUAAAUUUCUUCUAAAGCUAAAUAUUGGCCAGAGACCGAUAGCGCACAAGUAGAGUGAUCGAAAGAUGAAAAGCACUUUGGAAAGAGAGUCAAAAAGCACGUGAAAUUGUUGAAAGGGAAGCGCUUGCAGCCAGACGUGCCCGCAGUUGCUCACCUGGGCUCUCGCCCGGGGCAUUCUUCUGCGGGCAGGCCAGCAUCAGUUCGGGCGGUUGGAUAAAGGCCUCUAUCACGUAUCUUCCUUCGGGAUGACCUUAUAGGGGAGGCGCAACACGGCCAGCCUGAACUGAGGACCGCGCAUCAGCUAGGAUGCUGGCGUAAUGGCUGUAAGCGGCCCGUCUUGAAACACGGACCAAGGAGUCUAACAUCUAUGCGAGUGUUUGGGUGUCAAGCCCGGGCGCGCAAUGAAAGUGAACGGAGGUGGGAACCUUUCGGGGUGCACCAUCGACCGAUCCUGAAGUCUUCGGAUGGAUUUGAGUAAGAGCAUAGCUGUUGGGACCCGAAAGAUGGUGAACUAUGCCUGAAUAGGGUGAAGCCAGGGGAAACCCUGGUGGAGGCUCGCAGCGGUUCUGACGUGCAAAUCGAUCGUCAAA